rnacentral:rRNA from 5 species
CGACCCCAGGUCAGGCGGGGUUACCCGCUGA